AUGAAAAACAUGUAUAUGUCUCGUAAUAGACCAUUAUGGGGCUAUUAUGGCCUUUAUAGGAGACGUAACGUGCCGUUAAUGGCAAUUACAGGUCAUUUUUUCCAUAACGGCUGUUACAGCCUUUACAACCCCGUAACGCCCUUUACGGCACACCAUGAUCGUUGGAGAUAUUAUUGAUUUUCAAAAGAUAUGGGGGAGGAAUUAAAAGAUAUUUUGGUCAUUGAUAAUAUGUCUUAAAAUACACAGUUAGGAUUAGAGGAUAUGUAUGGUUAGAAUUAUAUUAAAGUGUCCCUUGCUUAAGAAAUAAGUAUACCAUGCAAAAAUAAAUAAA